AUUGAACGCUGGCGGCAGGCCUAACACAUGCAAGUCGAACGGUAACAGGAAGAAGCUUGCUUCUUUGCUGACGAGUGGCAGACGGGUGAGUAAUGUCUGGGAAACUGCCUGAUGUAGGGGGAUAACUACUGGAAACGGUAGCUAAUACCGCAUAACGUCGCAAGACCAAAGAGGGGGACCUUCGGGCCUCUUGCCAUCGGAUGUGCCCAGAUGGGAUUAGCUAGUAGGUGGGGUAACGGCUCACCUAGGCGACGAUCCCUAGCUGGUCUGAGAGGAUGACCAGCCACACUGGAACUGAGACACGGUCCAGACUCCUACGGAAGGCAGCAGUGGGGAAUAUUGCACAAUGGGGGCAAGCAUGAUGCAGCCAUGCCGAGUGUAUGAAGAAGGCCUUCGGGUUGUAAAGUACUUUCAGCGGGGAGGAAGGGAGUAAAGUUAAUACCUUUGCUCAUUGACGUUACCCGCAGAAGAAGCACCGGCUAACUCCGUG
rnacentral:rRNA from 1 species